rnacentral:lncRNA from 1 species
UUUUUUUAUUUUUUUAAGACUAGAGCUUUGAUCCUCUCUCUAGUACUUACUAGCUAUUGGGUGCUUGGCCAAUCUCAACCUUUAUGAACCUCAUUUUAUCCAUAAACUGAAGAUAAUGAUCCCCAGACAUCUCACUCUGGACUCUGGGCUGUUGCCAAGUAUCACCUGAGGCAAUGGAAAUAAAAGUAACUUGUAAACUGUGAAGUAAUACAUAAACAUAACAGAUUAAUGAUGAAGAUUUGUAAUUCCUAAGAGACUAACAUUCCAUCCUGGAAUGUUUGGGAUCAUGAAUAUAUUUCUUUCAACAGAAACAUGAGGUGUAUCUAUUCAUUUUUCAAUAAUUCCUGCUUGAAAAAAAUAGUAAUAGAACUGAUAACUCAAAAUACCAUAAAUGUUAUUUAUAUUUACUGUAAGAUUCAUUUUGCAUAACUUCUUGAUAAUGCAAAAAUUUAUGCCUUGAGAAAAAGUUGGAGUGCCUUGUACAAACAUCAACCUGAUGGCUGAGAGAAGAUGCCAAAAAGCACACUCCAGAAGGAAGCUGGUCUAGGAACUUAAAUGGCGUAGAUAAUUCACAUGUUUAAGAUUGAGGUUCAACUGUUAUAAAGCCUGCUGAAGCUUGACCAUCCAAAAUAAUGUUCACAAGUUCAUAUAAAAUCACAUUAGGGAUAAGAAACAUUUUAUUCUUAAUGUGAAUCAAUUAUACUUAGAAAUUAGAAAGCUGGACUUCUAAACAUCUGGCUCUUCAAUGUUAAGGCACAUAAGUAUUCAACUCAGGGAAACCCCGUGGACGUAUGGACCAUUCCUUUAUUUUAUUAACUUGUCUGCUAAGCUAACCUUAGUCAACUACAACUAUCACAAAAUACAACUUGUUCUGGGAAAGGGAAAGAGAGGGAGAGGGAGAGGGAGAGGGAGAGGGAGAGGGAGAUGGAGAGGGAGAAGGAGAGGGAGAGAGAGAGAGAGAGAUGGUGUGACUCUAUUCUAAUGUUCCAGUCUAGUCCCCAAGAGUCAGAGUGUACCCUGAAAAGACAAAGGGCCUGGCCUGGUGUGCUGUUGUUGGUUCAAGUUUCAAAGUAAAUAAGGAUGCCAGAGAGAUGUUUUAAAGAGGACAUUCCAGUUCAAAAAUACACUUAUAAGAAAGUCCCUCAGAUAAAUUCUUUUGCGUUAAUCUUAUCUUCAAAUAAUAGAUGUAUGCACCAAGUGCCUACUUUUAGUGUCCUAACAUCUUUUAAGACCCAGUUUAGGUGAACAUACCCCUUUCAUGUCAGUUCUCCGGCCUGGCCUUUCUGCCCUGUGGGAAGUGACCUGCUGCACUCCUCCCCAGGCAGUCUCCAACACCAUGUCCAUUUUUUUCCACAUGACUUCCCUAAAAAGUGCUGGCUAACUCUGCCAACUGCUGGGUUCCAGGAUGGCCCAAGGAACACCAUCUGAGCUGCUGUUUAUGAAAUUACUAAACAAAACAUGAUUGAAACUGCCCAUUUCUUUUUCUUUUGUUUAAGGUAGAGCACAUUACACAACACCAUAACCAAAGUACUGAUCAUUUCAAGAAAAACCAAAGCUUCAAGCUUUAGCUCCCAUUCUAGCUAUCACCCUGUUCACAAAACCUUCACCAUUAAACUUGGGUUCUAAGUUUAUAUUUCCCUCAGUUCCCAUGGCCCCCAGUAUGGUUCAAAUAAAAUAUAGAACCAUCUAAUUAAAUCUGAGUAUCAAAUAAACAAGAAAUAUUUUAGUAUAAGUAUGUCUCAAAUAUUGCAUUUUUUAUUAAACUUUUAUACUAAAAAAAAUUUCCUUGUUUAUCUGAAAUCCAAAUUUAAUUUGGUGUCCUAUAUUUUUAUUUACUAAAUAUGGCAACUCACAGCCCCACCUCCACUACAACAAUGGAUAAAAUCAGCAUGCCCUUAAAGAACACACUAACUGUGAAACUCACUUUUAUUUGCUGGCUCUGAAUUUAAUCCCUUUAGAAUACAGGGCAUGUAGAUAACAUAGCAAACUAUAAAAAUAAGCAGGAUCACAUUACUGGGACACCCUCUCUUUCCCCAACUGUGAAAUGGAAAGGGCUGAACUAGAUCUAAAAUUCCAUUAAACUACUGAAUUAUUAACAAACCUUUACCCACAUCAAAGUUAAUCAUCAAUGUCUUAAAAUUCUCAUGUCUCCUGGAAGAAGUUUCCUCACUAAAACACAAAACAACACCCCCCCCCCAAAAGAAAAACCCCAACUAACUCAAUUUGUCAUACACUUCUACUUCUCUUUCAAAAGCAUUUCCUGGAACUCAUCAACAGUAACGACUUCUCUUGUACAGUGGCUUGAAUGUCCGCCAGUAUUUGGCACCUUCUCUAGAUUCUGUUCACAGUCCCCUCUCUUAGCAAUGUUCAGGGUUACAGAAACUAGUGGUCUAGUCACACGAGGGGCCAUUAUCACAUGCUGUGAUCCCAAAUGUACUGAUUACCAAGAGGUCAUAUUAUUUUAGCAUUAGAUCCAAAACUAUUCUAAGAUGAAGUUGUGUCAUGAUCUCAUCAGACCAGUUAGGAAGGAAGGCAGACAUCUAAUUCAUGCUGACCCAAGACAGUCUAGAAGUGUCAACAUUAAUUAUAAGGAAUGGGAUAGGAUUUAUGUCCUUCUACAUAUCUAAAUUUGGUUCUAUUCAAAUGGCCUCAAGUACCAAUAUUGUUAUCUGUGAUACAGAUGGCAUCUAACCCAGUCCUAUUUGUUUAAUGAAAACCACUGACCAUAGGAGAACAAAAGUCUCCCAUGUUUUGUUUCAUCCGAAUCAUCCUCCUUGUUUUAAAUGUUUGGUUUGGGCAAUUAUGCUAAUUACAUUGGCAAACUGUGGCCCACAGGUCAAAUCUUGCCCUCUGCUUAUUUUGUAAUAAAAGUUUUUUUGGCCUACAGCCAUGCCCAUUUAUUUCUGUACUGUCAAUGGCUCUAUGGCUGCUUUCACACUACAACAGCAGAGUUGAGUAGUUAGCGGCAGACCCAUAUGGCUCAUGAACCCCCAAAUAUUUACUAUCUGGCCCUUUACAGACAGGGCUUGCCAAUUUCUGCUGAUCCCUUGCAAUCUUCAAGGGCCCACGGAGCAUUUUUGGUGUAGAAGCUCAUAUGGCCAAGUGCAGUUCCCACAGAACACCACUCCUUAGCCUCAGAUGUUCUCCAGAAUCCAAAGGAGAAGCACGCAAGCAUGGAAAUAUGAGGAAGCAUGAGUCCAGCAUUUCCAAAAGUGAAACGACGUAACAAGUACAUGUGCAGGAUGGUUGCCACCACCACUGUAGUUGGAUGAAGAAAACACAGUAGAGCAGAAAUUGUCUCCAUUUGGUGCCACUGCCCACAGAAGGUACUGUCACUGUUACAGGAAUUUAGAAUGUAAAACAACACUGUUGUUCUGUGACCUUACUGCUUUAGGCAGGAAGGGUGCAUGACCACAAAGAAUGGACUUCGAAACCAAAACGACCCUGAGCCUUAAAAGAGCCGCACACAGGUGCCUUGGAGGACAGGUUGCCAUAAUGACACAGCACGGGCUCUGGGAGGCUCUUGCUGAACAGCCCCCCUCCGCAGUUAUCAACCAUGAAGGGCCCCUUGGAAUCUCCUUUCUGCUCCAUGGAGAGCCCUUGUAAGCAGAAAUGGCAUGCUCACAGUUAAUGACAUUUUACGCCAUAGAAAAUUAGACACAGAUAUUCCUCUAGUUGAGAGAAGCAGGAAGGGGGGAAAAAAACAACUCAUAGUAACUGUUGCUAAGUUGACUUCACAAUAUUGACAGAGUAGAUGGCUCACCAAAUAAAAACUUUAAGAACAGGGCUAAUUCAAUCCUUCAACCCCUCUUAGGGAUCACAAGGGGCCCUCCCACCAGGAUAGAAGCAGAGCUGAGGUUCUUUUUUCUUCCUGCCUCUAUCGUUAUGUAUCAUCUUCCACACCCUGAGCCCACCACUCCCUUGUCUGCCUAAAGGUGGGUCCCAUGCUUGCAGGCCUUAGGUUCUCCUGCUGGACAAACACAGAAAAUCAACUAUCUACUCACAUUCCUGGAGAGAUGGGAGAGAUAGCCCAGUUCAUUUCACUUCCAGGUGCAGCCAGAACUCAACAUGUUCAUGCUUUUAUAAUUUAAAUAUUUGGUGGACUAUGUGCCAAGGAUUGUGCUUAGGGUUGAGGUUCAGGGGACACAAAAUAGACACAGAAUCUUCUCAGGGCAGUGACAGGUGAGGGGGGCAGGAAGGGCAGUUAUCAGAUAAAUACCCCAGAGUCUAAGGUUAUAUUAUAAGUGAGUCUAAGACUAUGAGUCUACACACUGUGUUCAGUGCCGUGAGGGUGAAUGGCAGGAAUCUAAGAAUAUAAAGGAGAAUCCUCGGGACACCCAGGUGGCUCAGUGGUUGAGCAUCUGCCUUUGGCUCAGGUUGUGAUCCCAGGGUACUGGGAUCGAGUCCUGCAUCGGACUCCCUGCAUGGAGCCUGCUUCUCCCUCUGUCUGUGUCUCUGCCUCUCUCUGCAUCUCUCAUUAAUAAAUAAAUAAAUUCUUAAAAAAAAAUAAAGAGGAAUCUUCAUUCAUUUAAAAUGAAACCAGAAGCAGGAGCAAGAGUUGGUCAGGUGAAGAAUGCAGAUGAGGAGCAUUUCCGGCAGAAGGAAGAGCAGGUGCAGGCACCGUGAGGAAGAGAAAGUGUGUCCUAGUCAAGGGAGGUGAGAGUGAGGCCGGAAAGAGAAGUGGUGGCCUUCUAAGUCAAAGCAGGGGUUUUGUUCCUUCUAAGUACAAUGGGAACCUGUGAACAGGGCAGUGAAGGAUUAGAUCUGAAUAUUUAAAAGACCACCCUGUGCGUGAGAACUAGUCCUAAAGGGCAGGAACGGAAGCAGGGUCAGGAGUUGUUGAGGAAGGAUGCCCCAGGGGCCUGGUUUGGGGGUGGGGUGGGGGCUUGAAGGUGCACAGUAGGUGUGCAGAAGAGGGCAUGAUUCAAGAUAUAUCUGGAAAACAGGAUCAACAGGAGAUCUUGAUAAAUGAGGAAGAAAGAGGUAUCAAGGAUGGUCUCCCAAAUUUUUUGGCAUGAGCUCCCGGGUAGAUAGCUCACCACCAUUUAUCAAGACAAGAAAUAUCCUGGGAAGACGCUAGGGUGAAACAUUAAGAAUUCCAUUUUGCAAACCACACAGCUUAUCUGUAAAGAGCACAGGAAGGGAUCUCUGGAUGGCUCAGUGGUUUAGCGUCUGCCUUCGGCCCAGGGCGUGGUCCUGGAGUUCCAGGAUCGAGUCCCACAUCAGGCUCCCUGCAUGGAGCCUGCUUCUCCCUCUGCCUAUUUCUCUGCCUCUCUUCUCUCUCUCUCUCUCUCUCUCUCUCUGUGUGUGUGUGUGUGUGUGUGUGUCUGUCUGUCACUCAUGAAUAAAUAAAUAAAAUCUUUAAAAAAAUUUUUUAAAAAAAGCACAGGAAGAUUUACUAGCUUCUAGGUAACCUUCUAUGGUCUGUUUUCAUCAUCUGUAAAAUGGGAAUUAUGGUAAAUCUACGUGGUUAUUGUGAUGACAGAAAGGGCAUAUGCAUUUAAAACAUUUGGCAUGAUUCCUGGCACACAGUAAUCCCUCCCCGCCCCCCCCAAAAAAGCUGCUUUGGUUAUUUUUUUACACUUGAAGUUUGAAAUGUCUACCGGUGACCUCAGGCAAGAUGUCCAGUAGGCAGUUAGAUAACUCGGCUCUGCAGCUCAGAACUCUCUCCUGCUGGGAGAGUGGGACAGAUGAUAAACGUUCUGUGCUGCUACAAGAUUAUGAAUCAAACACCUUGUUACAGAUUUUAUAAUAGCAGCUGGAGAUUUACUUGUAGAUUGACUGAAAGGUCAGUGUCUGGGUAUCAACGGCAUAUAGACAGCACUCAAAGUUAUAGAAAACAGAAUAAUUUGAUGUAAAGGUGAACUCUAGGGAGAAAAACUGAGAUGUGAAGGAAUGAGCCUGUAGGGAGCUACUUAAACACAAAACAAAGAUGAAAAGUUGAAGGAAAGUAAAAUAGAAACUAAAAAGUAAAAAUAGAAAGUAAAAAGGGUCUGCCCAUUUUAUUCUAUUUCCCCAAGCAGAAAAAUGACAAUCUUAAAAAGAGAGUCAGUUGCCCCUUACAUAUCGAAGUGUAUACAAAGAUAUAUAUUUGUAAAAUACUCCCUGUAAUGCCAUAAUACCAAAAAGGACCUUAAGCAACCUAAAUCAAUAACAGCAGACAUUAAUUAGGGAAAGUAUGGCACAUCUAUGUAAAGGAAUAAAUUUAGAGCAAUAAACAUCAUGCCAUAGAUGAUUUAUUGGAAAAAUGUUCACAUUUUAGUGGUAUAUCAAAAAAAAUAGGUUACAAACUGUCGUGUAUAAUACACAAUAGGAAAAAAACCCCAAAAAACAAAAAACACCAGCAGAGCAAACAAUACCAGAAAAUCAAUAAUAGCUGAUUCUAGAUAAUAAGAUUUCAGCUGAUAUUUUUUUCCUUGUAUUUUUUUUUUUCAAAAAAAUCAUCAAGAGUAGAUGUUAAUUGUAUAGACAGAAAAUGAAAUGAAGCAGAGAACUCCAUCUCUCCCUCUAAAACACCUGACACUCCUAGGCCUCAAAUCCCCAAACCAAAUGCUCAAGGCAAAUACUAAGAAGACUGAAGACUGGAUACAAAUGUCUCCAUCAUCACCUUCUCAGUAAAAGGAACCUGAUGCUGUCGUAGGUGUGGAGUAUAUUUACUGAUCCUUCCAGAAUGAUAGAGCCAUCCUCCACCAGUGGCUGUGCUUUUCUAACCUUAAAACGACCAAUUUUUAAAAAAAUUUUAUUUAUUUAUUCAUGAGAGACAUAGGGACUGAGAGAGAGGCAGAGACCAGGCAGAGGGAGAAGCAGGCUCCAUGCAGGAAGCCUGACAUGGGACUCGACCCCGGGUCCCCAGGAUCACGCCCUGGGCCGAAGGCGGCGCUAAACCGCUGAGCCACCCGAGCUGCCCAAAAAGACCAAUGUUAAUGUCACAAGUCGGAUUACGUUCUUUCUUGAUCUUCAACAACGUGCAUCAUGAGACAAUCACAGAAAAAAUUCCAUUUUGUCCUAAAAGGAUAAACUUUCAGUCUGUAUAUAUUCACAUACCAUCACACCCACAACCAAACCUGAAAUUUCUUUUUUUUUUUAAAGGGAAGAAUCCCUUUUAAAACCUAUCUGUCUAUCUAUCUAUCUAUCUAUCUAUCUAUCUAUCUAUCUAUCUAUCUAUCAGUCUAGGGGUGGGGGAGGAGCAAAGGUAUAGGAACAAGCAGACUCC